CUUACUGCUAAGGUAGUAUUCAUGUAUGCGUGUGCGAUUCUAGCCCAAGCAUCCUCUGGCUUCUGUAGGAAGGCCUGGAAUGAAGGUCUUUAAGAAAUCAAGAUUCUUAAAGAAGUGUUCAAGGUUCUGAGAAAUGUUCAAAUGUAGGACUCUGAUAUAUUUUCGGGAUUCUCGAUACGACUGAUAGUUUAUAAGAGGUUUCAAUGAGAAUUUCAAAUAGGAUUGGGACUUGCAAAAGCCUCAGGGCUUUUCUGAUCG